AGAAUUGAAUGGUAGGUGAACAA
rnacentral:miRNA from 1 species